rnacentral:rRNA from 1 species
AUGCAGACGGGGAGCAGAAGUGAUGAUUGGAUGCUACGGGGAAACAAGUUAUUCAAUGAGGGGCAAUUCGAGAUGGCUACUAUGUGCUUUGAAAAGGCCGGUGAUGCACAUAGAGAGAAGUUGGCAACAGCUGCUGGACUUGUAGCGACUGCUAACCGUGUCAUCUCAACAAAUUCGGAGUUGGGCAAGGCUUCAUUGCAAACAGCAUCAGAGAUUUAUGAGUCCAUAGGCAUGCAUGAGAAAGCUGCUACUUGCUAUAUCAAAUUAGGUGACUACAAAAAAGCAGGUAUGGUCUAUAUGCAAAAAUGUGUUACUUCUAAACUUGAGGAUGCUGGUGAUUGUUUUGCUAUGGCUGAAUGCUGGUCGGAGGCAACUGAAGUGUUCUUGCAAGCUAAAUGUUACACAAAGUGUUUCUCCAUGUGCUCGAAAGGAAAUAAAUUAUUCAAUCUGGGCCUAUAG